rnacentral:misc_RNA from 1 species
UCGUUUAGGCCGAUUACCAGGGUAUUUACCCUGUUUGCUCCCCACGCUUGUGUGCAUGAGCGUCAGUACAGGUCCAGGGGAGUUCUCUGCCACGCGUUCUCCGCAUCUACGCAUAUUACACGCGGAAUUCCAUCCCCUUUCACGGGUACUCUAGCUAUGCAGUCAUAAAUGCAGUUCCCAGGUUGGAGUCAGGAUUUCACAUCUGUCUAGCAUACCCAACGGCGCAUUUACGCCCAGUAAUUCCGACUAACGCUCGCACCCUACGUAAGGCCGCGGCUGCUGGCACGUAGUUAGCUGGUGCUUUAUUCUUACGGUACUGCCGCAGCCCCCUGUAUUAGAAGGUUUUUCGUCCUGCACAAAAGCAGUUUACACCCUGGGAAGCCCGCAGCGGCAUUAAGCGAUCAGGCUGCUCAUUGUCCAAAAUUUCACUGCCACACCGCCGUGUUCAGUCCCAGUGGCUGGUCGUCUCUUCAGACCAGCUACAGAUCGUCGGCUUGCAGCAUCCCACCAACUACCUACCUGUUGUCGGCCGCCCAUCGCGCGAGGCCCGAAUAUCGUAUGCGGUAUUAGCUACUCUUCGAGUAGCUAUCCCCCACGACAAGCACGUUCCGAUACAUUUCACCGUCUGCCACUCGUCAGCGCUUCCGAAGAGUUACUGUUCGGACGGUAUGCUGUAAGGCAUGUUAGCAGCUCAUCCGAGCUCGACCAAACCCUACGUAACUUGGUUUACCCAAGAUUCUGUAGUACAGAGGGUUCGACUAUGGCUCAGAUUGAACGCUGGCGGAUGCUUUACACAUGCAAGUCGAACGGCAGCAUCGACUUCGGUCUGGUGGCGAGUGGCGAACGGGUGAUAAUGUAUCGGAACGUGCCUAGUAGCGGGGAUAAUCACGCGAAAGCGUAGCUAAUACCGCAUACGCCCUUCGGGGGAAAGCGGGGACCUUCGGGCCUCGCACUAUUAGAGCGGCCGAUAUCGGAUUAGCUAGUUGGUGGGUGCAAUGGCUCACCAAGGCGAUUAAUCCGUAGCUGGUUUGAGGACGACCAGCCACACUGGGAUUCCCGAGACACGGCCCAGACUCCUACGGAGGCAGUAGCUCUUGUACAAUGGGGGAAACCCUGAUCCAGCCAUCCCGCGUGUGCGAUGAAGGCCUUCGGGUUGUAAAGCACUUUUGGCAGGAAGAAACGGCACGGGAUAAUACCCCGUGCAACUGACGGUACCUGCAGAUAAAGCACUGGCUAACUACGUGCCAGCAGCCGCGGUAAUACGUAGGGUGCAAGCGUUAAUCGGAAUUACUGGGCGUAAAGCGUGCGCAGGCGGUUCGGAAAGAAAGAUGAAAUCCCAGAGCUUAACUUUGGAACUGCAUUUUUAACUACCGAGCUAGAGGUGUCGAGGGAGGUGGAAUUCCGCGUGUAGCAGUGAAAUGCGUAGAUAUGUUAGAGGAACACCGAUGGCGAAGGCAGCCUCCCGGGGAUAACACCGACGCUCAUGCACGAAAGCGUGGGGAGCAAACAGAUUAGAUACCCGGUAGUCCACGCCCUAAACGAUGUCAACUAGCUGUUGGGGCCUUCGGGCCUUGUAGCGCAGCUAACGCGCGAAGUUGACCGCCUGGGGAGUACGGUCACAAGAUUAAAACUCAAAGGAAUUGACGGGACCCGCAAGCGGUGGAUGAUGUGGAUUAAUUCGAUGCAACGCGAAAACCUUACUCUACCCUUGACAUGUCCGGAAUCCCGAAGAGAUUUGGGAGUGCUCGUAAGAGAACCGAACACAGGUGCUGCAUGGCUGUCGUCAGCUCGUGUCGUGAUGUUAAAUAAACCGUAACGAGCGCAACCCUUGUCAUUAGUUGCCACGAAAGGGCACUCCAAUGAGACUGCCGGUGACAAACUGGAGGAAGGUGGGGAUGACGUCAAGUCCUCAUGGCCUCUGCGGGUAGGGAUCUGCCACGUCAUACAAUGGUCGGGACAGAGGGUCGCCAACCCGCGCAGGGGGAGCCAAUCCCAGAAACCCGAUCGUAGUCCGGAUCGCAGCCUGCAACUCGACUGCGUGAAGUCGGAAUCGCUAGUAAUCGCGGAUCAGCAUGUCGCGGUGAAUACGUUCCCGGGUCUUGUACACACCGCCCGUCACACCAUGGGGAGUGGGUUUUACCAGAAGUAGUUACCCAACUGCAAGGAGAGUGGCGAUUACCACGGUAGGAUUCAUGAUCAGGGUGAAGUCGUAAUAAGGUAG